UACAGAGGUCUCAAGCGUUGUUCGGAUUCACUGGGCGUAAAGGGUGCGUAGGUGGCGCCGUAAGUCGGGUGUGAAAUUUCGGAGCUUAACUCCGAAACUGCAUUCGAUACUGCGGUGCUUGAGGACUGGAGAGGAGACUGGAAUUCAUGGUGUAGCAGUGAAAUGCGUAGAGAUCAUGAGGAAGACCAGUGGCGAAGGCGGGUCUCUGGACAGUUCCUGACACUGAGGCACGAAGGUCAGGGGAGCAAACGGG
rnacentral:rRNA from 1 species